UUGGGUUGGUAAGAUACUUCCAUCAAAUUUAUAUUUUUAUGAACUUUUUUUCCUGGUUAUUUGCUUGUGAAUAUAUAGAGACAUUUAUAUGUACACAGUUUACACCCCAAAUUCCAUAUUAAGGUGCUGCAAUACAAAUGCUCAUCGCCCAAAGUGUAAUUUGGAUUUGAUUUUACAAUGAACAGGAGUUCUACUGCUUGAACUGGUAACUAGUACAAUAUACACAGAUGUGGGAAUUGUUGAUCUGUUCCCUGAGAGAAUCGCUGGUGAACAAGAGCAAAUUGUUUGAAGUUUCAAGCCACUAUGAUUUCAAGACUCAAGGGAUUUUCAGUGGUUUGUAGAUGUGUAGUCUCCUGGCUACCAAAAUAAGCAGGGGUUUGAGCGCACCACUAUUCUUCCAAGACUUGAGGCAAAAUUAGUUUAAAUGCAAAAACUUGAGGCAAAAUAGCCAAUAGAUACAUUACUAUGGCUAUUUAUUAUAAUUACUUUCUUUGUCUUUAGUAUUUACAAAGUUGUAUGAAAUAUUUCAUUUUGGUAGUGAUGAUGAAGUCUUUUAAUA